rnacentral:rRNA from 1 species
CCGACACAGGUGGUCAGGUAGAGAAUACCAAGGCGCUUGAGAGAACUCGGGUGAAGGAACUAGGCAAAAUGGUGCCGUAACUUCGGGAGAAGGCACGCUGAUAUGUAGGUGAAGUCCCUCGCGGAUGGAGCUGAAAUCAGUCGAAGAUACCAGCUGGCUGCAACUGUUUAUUAAAAACACAGCACUGUGCAAACACGAAAGUGGACGUAUACGGUGUGACGCCUGCCCGGUGCCGGAAGGUUAAUUGAUGGGGUCAGCGCAAGCGAAGCUCUUGAUCGAAGCCCCGGUAAACGGCGGCCGUAACUAUAACGGUCCUAAGGUAGCGAAAUUCCUUGUCGGGUAAGUUCCGACCUGCACGAAUGGCGUAAUGAUGGCCAGGCUGUCUCCACCCGAGACUCAGUGAAAUUGAACUCGCUGUGAAGAUGCAGUGUACCCGCGGCAAGACGGAAAGACCCCGUGAACCUUUACUAUAGCUUGACACUGAACAUUGAGCCUUGAUGUGUAGGAUAGGUGGGAGGCUUUGAAGUGUGGACGCCAGUCUGCAUGGAGUCGACCUUGAAAUACCACCCUUUAAUGUUUGAUGUUCUAACGUGGACCCGUGAUCCGGGUUGCGGACAGUGUCUGGUGGGUAGUUUGACUGGGGCGGUCUCCUCCUAAAGAGUAACGGAGGAGCACGAAGGUUGGCUAAUCCUGGUCGGACAUCAGGAGGUUAGUGCAAUGGCAUAAGCCAGCUUGACUGCGAGCGUGACGGCGCGAGCAGGUGCGAAAGCAGGUCAUAGUGAUCCGGUGGUUCUGAAUGGAAGGGCCAUCGCUCAACGGAUAAAAGGUACUCCGGGGAUAACAGGCUGAUACCGCCCAAGAGUUCAUAUCGACGGCGGUGUUUGGCACCUCGAUGUCGGCUCAUCACAUCCUGGGGCUGAAGUAGGUCCCAAGGGUAUGGCUGUUCGCCAUUUAAAGUGGUACGCGAGCUGGGUUUAGAACGUCGUGAGACAGUUCGGUCCCUAUCUGCCGUGGGCGAUGGAGAACUGAGGGGGGCUGCUCCUAGUACGAGAGGACCGGAGUGGACGCAUCACUGGUGUUCGGGUUGUCAUGCCAAUGGCACUGCCCGGUAGCUAAAUGCGGAAGAGAUAAGUGCUGAAAGCAUCUAAGCACGAAACUUGCCCCGAGAUGAGUUCUCCCUGACCCUUUAAGGGUCCUGAAGGAACGUUGAAGACGACGACGUUGAUAGGCCGGGUGUGUAAGCGCAGCGAUGCGUUGAGCUAACCGGUACUAAUGAACCGUGAGGCUUAACCUU